UGCACCGCGCCGACCGGACGCCUCAGGCCGGCCCUCCCCUCCCCCCAACUGCUGCCCCACAAUGCACCGCGUCGCCCGCAGCCGCCCCACAAAGCACCGCGCCUCGCGCAGGCGGAAGCGCUGACGUCGCCCGCGCCAUCUUGGCCCCGGGCAGGCAGUCUUCGGCUACUGCUGCCCCUUCCCGCACAGGGGCCGCCAUCUUCGAUUGGCUGGGCCAGAAGAACUCAGGAUCCUCCAACUGCAGGAGGUUCCCGGUCCCCACCAGACAAGAAGAUUAAGGCUCUGUUUGGAAGACAAAAGUGUUCAAAGAUUAUUCAAUCAGAAGAGGUAAGCUACACAGGAACGGAUGAAAAACAGGAACGAAACCUGUAUCAAGAAGAUGAUUCUAAUACUACCUACUGAUUGGGACUUAUGCAUCACUGAGUCGUAAUGUUAUUAUAGUAGCAAGUCAUCCAUUUGUUUCCAUUAAAAAAAUGCAGUCGAGUAACACAUUCUACCACUGGGAAACCCUGCAUCUCGGCGUAGCAGCCACGGAGCUGCGCCCUGGCGGGCUUCACUCUCUACCUUCACAGGAGCAAUCACUCAACUAAGAAUGAAAGACCCUCUCAGGGAGAGGAGGAGCUGGCAUCAGGAGAAAAUAGGAAGGAAACUACAAAAAUAACUGCAAUUACCAACUUUCUAAAUUAAGAUUUGAGGGAAAUUAUACGAUUUCUUGUUCCUCUUGACAGCAGUAGAUGUGGAGCCAAAUCAGUGAUGUAGAAGAACCCACCGUUUUAAACCACGGCCACGGUUUCAGUAUUUUCAGUUGGCUGAGCGAGAUACAGCAUUACAAGAGUUUGUUUCCUGACGUGGAAACUCCCUUACUUAGUAAAAUGCAUAAACUCUAGUACCAAAUAAAUUUUCUCUAAAACUAA